rnacentral:rRNA from 1 species
AUGGCAAUGGGUGCUCGAGUACCAAAAGCAUCUCCACAAUUUGCUUGGAAGCAGCUCAUGUCAACGGGUUCUGCUGUAUCAAAAGCAUCUCUGCUUUUAAGUAGAGCUGCUUGUGCCGUUACCCUGACUGCCACUAGAUAUAAGUUAGUUCCUUACCUCGUCGCUUUUGUAGCUGUAAAGUUGAUGCUAGGUGAGAAGAGCUUUGCAGAUGGCGAGUACCUCCCAAUACGAGAGAAUAUUUACUCGCGAGCUCAGGACAGCCGUAUUUAUGUCACCACAUUGAUAUUCUCAGUAGUAGAGAUGGUUAUCAUAAUCCUCAGAUCAAUAUAUCUGGUCUUGUUUACUCCCAGUAUACUGAUGGCACCAUUUAAGGAUACUCUUGGCAGUAAGUAUAGGAAAACAUGGCUCCGUCUUGUGCAUCGUACUUUGGAGAAGGCAGGUCCUGCAUUUAUUAAAUGGGGCCAGUGGGUGGCGACAUGUCCUGAUCUAUUUGCAAACGACCUGUGUACCGAGUUGUCAAAGCUACACACAAAAGCACCAGCUCACAGCUAUGCAUAUACCAAGAAAACUGUUGAGAAGGCUUUUGGUCGAAAUAUAUCUGAAAUUUUUGAGAAAUUUGAAGAAGAACCUGUAGCAUCUGGAAGUGUUGCUCAAGUGCAUCGGGCUGCUUUGAAAUUCCGACAUCCUGGCCAAAAGACGCCAAAGAUUAUAACAGUCGCAGUUAAAGUAAGACAUCCUGGUGUAGGAGACUCAAUACGGAGAGAUUUCAGUAUAAUUAAUGCUGUAGCUAAAGCUUCAAGAUGUAUUCCAGCGUUAAAUUGGCUACGGCUAGAUGAGAGUGUGCAACAGUUUGCUGUCUUCAUGAUGUCUCAAGUUGACCUUGCAAGGGAAGCUGCUCAUUUGAGCCGGAUUAUCUACAACUUCCGCAGGUGGAAAGAUGUGUCAUUUUUGAAACCUCUUUAUCCAUUUGUUCAUCCUGCUGUCUUGGUCGAGACUUACGAGCUUGGGGAGAGUGGCUCACACUAUGUGGAUGACCACGAUGGAGAGGAACGAGUUAAAAGUGCUCUUGCACAUAUUGGCACUCAUGCACUCUUGAAAAUGCUACUGUUAGCAGAAUCGUCUCUGCAGCAGAGAAUUAAUUGA